CGGUAAUUCCAGCUCCAAUAGCGUAUACUAAAGUUGUUGCAGUUAAAAAGCUCGUAGUUGGAUUUCUGCGGGGACGGAGCGGCCGGACGCAACUUGCGUCUCGAGCUAGCGCUUUCCCCGCAUCCUGCCGCGAACCGUGCUACCAUUAGCUUGGUGGCGCUGGGGAUCGGCUCGAUUACUUUGAGAAAAAUAGAGUGUUCAAAGCAGGCCACACGCCUUGAAUAAGUUAGCAUGGAAUAAUGACUAAGGACUUUGGUUCUUUUCGUUGGUGUUCGGGACUGAAGUAAUGAUUGAUAGGGACAGUUGGGGCGGUCUGUAUUCCAAAGCGAGAGGUGAAAUUCUUAGACCUUCGGAAGACAAACAGCUGCGAAAGCGUUCCGCAAGGAUGUUCCCUUUGAUCAAGAACGAAAGUUGGGGGAUCGAAGACGAUCAGAUACCGUCGUAGUCUCAACUAUAAACUAUACCAGCUAGGGAUCGGCCAACGUUUAAUUAUUCGACUUGGUCGGCACCUUAUGAGAAAUCAAAGCAUCUGAGUUCCGGGGGGAGUAUGGUCGCAAGGCUGAAACUUAAAGGAAUUGACGGAAGGGCACCACCAGGCGUGGAGCCUGUGGCUUAAUUUGACUCAACACGGGAAAACUUACCAGGUCCAGACAUAGGAAGGAUUGACAGAUUGAUAGCUCUUUCUUGAUUCUGUGGGUGGUGGUGCAUGGCCGUUUUUAGUCGGUGAAGUGAUUUGUCUGCUUAAUUGCGUUAACGGACGAGACCCCAGCCUGCUAAAUAGCGCGGCCGAGCUUUGCUCGGUGCGAGCUUCUUAGAGGGACCAUGAUGCGCGAUAGCACAAGGAAGUUUGGGGCAACAACAGGUCUGUGAUGCCCUUAGAUGUUCUGGGCCGCACACGGGCUACACUGGCGCCUGCAACGAGCAUAUCAGCUGGCCCGAGAGGGUCUUGGCUAAUCUUUGGAACCGGCGCCGUGCUUGGGAUUGACCAUUGCAAUUGUUGGUCAUGCAACGAGGAAUGCCUUGUAAACGCGAGUCAUCAGCUCGCAUUGAAUACGUCCCUGCCCUUUGUACACACCGCCCGUCGCUCCUACCGAUGAAUGUUCCGAUGAAAUUUUCGGAGAGCGCCGGAGAACGGGGCUCUGCCCUGCAGAACUGGAGGCUCAAAGUCACUUAAAUCUGAACAUUUCGAGGAAGGGGAAGUCGUAACAAGGUAACC
rnacentral:rRNA from 1 species